rnacentral:lncRNA from 1 species
GACUGUAUUCCAUGUAUAUAUAUGACUCAGGGGAAUUUGACUCUGGAAGACAUUUCUGAACUGGAGGUUUUCAUACUAAUGCUGCUAGAGUUGUUGAGAAACACCUGAAUGAAAUGUUCAUCUAAGAGUGUCCAUCGUUGUGUGCACAAGUGGUGUUAACAAGGGAGCUCAAACAUGCCGCAGUGGAAGUAGCCAUUGAUAACAGCUCUCUAGGAGAGUCCGUGGUUACUGUGACAAGGUACUAAAUGGUGCUUCUUGUGUCCUGGUGCCACCCCAUGCAGCCUGUGAGGGACAGAGCCCAGGGCUUGGAAGCUCUGAGGUGGCCUGAGCCUCCCCAGCAUAGCCACUUUCAAGUCCAGCGCCCAGUGGUGAAAUGGCCCACCAGCACGGCACAGGAGAGCCCCCAGAGGGACACUUCCAGAGUAUGGCAUCAGUCUGCUAAGUGAGGAGGCCUGUUAAAGGCUUAGACACAACCUGCCAAACCGGUUUGUAAACCAGCUCCAGCUCCCUUGGGGUGAGGGUUGUGUGUCUGGAUGAACGCAAAUCUGGAUUCUCAGACAGUUCUCUCGAUGUUUGGUUUUCUUUUAAGUUAACAAGGGCUUUCGCUUUCCUUCCCUUUUUAUCUGUUUUGCAGCUGGUUCUGAGACAUGCCCCAGCCCAGUCUAUUUAUCUUGUGAGCUUCAGAAGGCGCACACCCCCUCUCCUCACACGGCUCCCUCCCCGGGAGAUUGCAUCUUGCCUCUGUAAUGGGGUUUUGACUGGCCUUUUGUAUAAUGCUAGGCCACAAUGGGACAAGAAUCUUCUCCUCUUAUUUUUAUCAGGCGCUUUUAUUUCCUGAGCUGUUUUUUAAGUGUGCCUGUUUCUGA